rnacentral:rRNA from 3 species
UUUUUCAGGUUGACCUCGGAUCAGGU